rnacentral:rRNA from 1 species
UACGUAGGGGGCAAGCGUUGUCCGGAUUUAUUGGGCGUAAAGAGCGUGUAGGCGGUCUGGUAGGUCCGCUGUGAAAACUCGAGGCUCAACCUCGAGACGCCGGUGGAAACCAUCAGACUAGAGUCCGGAAGAGGAGAGUGGAAUUCCUGGUGUAGCGGUGAAAUGCGCAGAUAUCAGGAAGAACACCCGUGGCUAAGGCGGCUCUCUGGGACGGUACUGACACUAAGGCGCGAAAGCGUGGGGAGCAAACAGG